rnacentral:rRNA from 1 species
GUCUACAGCCAUGCUACCCUGAACAAGCCCUAUCCCGUCUGAUCUGGUUAGUACCUGGAUGGGAGACCACCUAGGAAGACCAGGUGCUGUAGGUG